rnacentral:rRNA from 1 species
AGCAGCCGCGGUAAUUCCAGCUCCAAUAGCGUAUAUUAAAGUUGUUGCAGUUAAAAGCUGUAGUUGAAUUUGGGUUUAGCCAAUUGGUCCGUUCUUGUAACGAGUACUGGUUGGUUGGCCUCACCGCCUGGUGAUACGUAAUGUCCUUUAUUGGGUGUUGCGAGUAGCCAGGACCUUACCUUGAAAAAUUAGAGUGUUUAAAGCAGGCUUAUGCCGGAAUACAUUAGCAUGGAAUAU